AAGGACUAAGGGAGUCCGCAGCCUGGGGCAUUGGAGCCCUUCGCCAUACCCCUAGUGCGUCCUCACCCCCUCAGCCCGUGCUUCCCAGGGCGGGUAUCCUCGGAAGGCCCGGCCCUCACAGCCUUGGCAGGCCAAGGUCAGAAUGAUUGGAGUUGGGGGAUGGGACGGGGGCAUCCCUCCAGGACCAGCUCUCCAGGAGGCCCACAUUCUUUCUGCGGGAACCACUCCAAAGGGGCAUGCUGUUCCAGGCAGCCCCUCGCGCAGACACUCCGGCUUUGUCGAGGCUGUAUAAGAAGCAAGGCUUCAGCAUCUGCUUCUGAUGAGGACCUCAGGAAGCCUCCAUUCAUGGUGGAAGAUGAAGGGGAGCCCCUGUGUGCAGAGGUCACAGGGAAAGAGAGAGGAGGAGGUGCCGGGCUGUUUUUAACAACCAGCUUUGGCAGGAACUAAUAGAGCAAGAACUCCACUCCCUACAAGGGAGGGCAGGAGUCUAUUCAUGAAGGAUCUGCCCCCAGGACCCAAGCACCUCCCACCAGGCUGCACCUCCAACACUGGAGAUUAAAUUUCAACAUGAGAAUUAAUGAGACAAACACCUUAUUCAAACUAUAGCACCCACUACAUUGCCAUCUUUGCCUUAUCAAUGAUUACCUGAACUCCUUGUCCCCAUGCGUCAAUCCACACAAGAUGCUUGUUUGCCCAGCCUUGGUUCAGCUUCUCCCCUCCCCCAACGCCCUGAUGUUUGGCCUCUCCUGGAGCAGGCCAGGCUCAGGGUAAAGUAUCCUCAAUCUCUUGUCCCCUCAGCCACCCUUCAUCCCACUUCCCCAGACGUGGUUCUUUCCAGCCUCAUUCAUUCCUCCCUAUAUAAGAAAACUCCUUCUCUGCGUCACCUUUGGGAGCUUGCAGACAUUAAGGUCAAUGCUUUCUCCCUAUUGCAGUAUUCUGGUAUCUCCUAUUGCAAUAUCCUUUUGCAUAAAGAUAUCUCCUUACUAAA
rnacentral:lncRNA from 1 species